AGAGUUUGAUCAUGGCUCAGAACGAACGCUGGCGGCAUGCCUAACACAUGCAAGUCGAACGCCCCGCAAGGGGAGUGGCGCACGGGUGAGUAACGCGUGGGAACCUGCCCCGAGGUGGGGGAUAACCGAUGGAAACGUCGGCUAAUACCGCAUACGUCCCUAGGGAGAAAGAUUUAUCGCCUUGGGAGGGGCCCGCGUCG
rnacentral:rRNA from 1 species